UACGUAGGGCGCAAGCGUUGUCCGGAAUUAUUGGGCGUAAAGAGCUCGUAGGCGGCCUGUUACGUCUGCUGUGAAAUCCCGGGGCUUAACCCCGGGCGUGCAGUGGAUACGGGCAGGCUGGAGGCAGGCAGGGGAGAACGGAAUUCCCGGUGUAGCGGUGAAAUGCGCAGAUAUCGGGAGGAACACCGGUGGCGAAGGCGGUUCUCUGGGCCUGUACUGACGCUCAGGCACGAAAGCAUGGGGAGCAAAAGGG
rnacentral:rRNA from 1 species